AGUGAACGCUGGCGGUAGGCCUAACACAUGCAAGUCGAACGGCAGCACAGUAAGAGCUUGCUCUUACGGGUGGCGAGUGGCGGACGGGCGAGGAAUACAUCGGAAUCUACUUUUUCGUGGGGGAUAACGUAGGGAAACUUACGCUAAUACCGCAUACGACCUACGGGUGAAAGCAGGGGAUCUUCGGACCUUGCGCGAUUGAAUGAGCCGAUGUCGGAUUAGCUAGUUGGCGGGGUAAAGGCCCACCAAGGCGACGAUCCGUAGCUGGUCUGAGAGGAUGAUCAGCCACACUGGAACUGAGACACGGUCCAGACUCCUACGGGAGGCAGCAGUGGGGAAUAUUGGACAAUGGGCGCAAGCCUGAUCCAGCCAUACCGCGUGGGUGAAGAAGGCCUUCAGGUUGUAAAGCCCUUUUGUUGGGAAAGAAAAGCAGCAGGUUAAUACCCCGCUGUUCUGACGGUACCCAAAGAAUAAGCACCGGCUAACUUCGUG
rnacentral:rRNA from 1 species